GCAGGCCUAACACAUGCAAGUCGAGCGGUAGAGAGAAGCUUGCUUCUCUUGAGAGCGGCGGACGGGUGAGUAAUGCCUAGGAAUCUGCCUGGUAGUGGGGGAUAACGUUCGGAAACGGACGCUAAUACCGCAUACGUCCUACGGGAGAAAGCAGGGGACCUUCGGGCCUUGCGCUAUCAGAUGAGCCUAGGUCGGAUUAGCUAGUUGGUGAGGUAAUGGCUCACCAAGGCGACGAUCCGUAACUGGUCUGAGAGGAUGAUCAGUCACACUGGAACUGAGACACGGUCCAGACUCCUACGGGAGGCAGCAGUGGGGAAUAUUGGACAAUGGGCGAAAGCCUGAUCCAGCCAUGCCGCGUGUGUGAAGAAGGUCUUCGGAUUGUAAAGCACUUUAAGUUGGGAGGAAGGGUUGUAGAUUAAUACUCUGCAAUUUUGACGUUACCGACAGAAUAAGCACCGGCUAACUCUGUGCCAGCAGCCGCGGUAAUACAGAGGGUGCAAGCGUUAAUCGGAAUUACUGGGCGUAAAGCGCGCGUAGGUGGUUUGUUAAGUUGGAUGUGAAAUCCCCGGGCUCAACCUGGGAACUGCAUUCAAAACUGACUGACUAGAGUAUGGUAGAGGGUGGUGGAAUUUUCCUGUGUAGCGGUGAAAUGCGUAGAUAUAGGAAGGAACACCAGUGGCGAAG
rnacentral:rRNA from 1 species